rnacentral:rRNA from 1 species
GACGAACGCUGGCGGCGUGCUUAACACAUGCAAGUCGAACGGUGAAGCUCCAGCUUGCUGGAGUAGACCAGUGGCGAACGGGUGAGUAACACGUGGGCAACCUGCCCUAGACUCCGGGAUAAGCGCUGGAAACGGCGUCUAAUACUGGAUACGAGAACAAGCCGCAUGGCUAUGUUGUAGGAAGUUUUUCGGUGUGGGAUGGGCUCGCGGCCUAUCAGCUUGUUGGUGUGGUAAUGGCUCACCAAGGCGACGACGGGUAGCCGGCCUGAGAGGGAGACCGGCCACACUGGGACUGAGACACGGCCCAGACUCCUACGGGAGGCAGCAGUGGGGAAUAUUGCACAAUGGGCGAAAGCCUGAUGCAGCGACGCCGCGUGAGGGAUGACGGCCUUCGGGUUGUAAACCUCUUUCAGCAGGGAAGAAGCGAAAGUGACGGUACCUGCAGAAGAAGCACCGGCUAACUACGUG